rnacentral:tRNA from 1 species
GCUGGCGUAGCUCAACAGGUAGAGCAGCUGACUUGUAAUCAGCAGGUUGCGGGUUCAAUUCCUGUCGCCAGCUCCA